GUCAACACCGGUUUCGUAUUUUCACGUGAAAUCGGCCGAAAACUGAGAGGUUAUCAACAAAUUAUAAGUUUACGGGUACCAUGAGGAAUUUUCAUGCAUUUGAACGACAGAAGUACAAGCGAACAGAUGACACAUUAAAGUGGCUGCAGAAACUUGAAAAGUUAGAUAGAGCAGGGACAGUCAAAACUGUGGGAUAAUACUUCUAUGGUGUCCAACAUGUCUAGUCAAGUUGACAGAAGUGAAAGAUGGUCUGAUGGUACAAUGAUGUACAAAUGAUACUCUUAAAAAGUGAAAGAUGGUCUGAUGGUACAAUGAUGUACAAAUGAUACUCUUUAACAAGUUUAACAUGUCAAAGUGUAAAAUGUUCUGUGGAUUCAUAUGAUGAGUCUGUAUGACUUAAUUAAACACACAUAUUGAUACCUUCAGAUAUAUACCUGUGAAAUCUUCAGUGUCACCGUUCGGCUAUUGUUCAAGAUCAGUGUCUGCAGCUUGCACAGUUUAGUAUAGAGGAGCCUUCUGAAUCAAUUUUGUUACAUAUUUGCUGUUAUUGUAGGACGCAUAUGUAGAGAGCAACAAGUCCUGUCCAACUGUGCAGGUAAAUGUGAUUCAGAAACUUUGAGAAUAUGUAAACAUUACACUGUUAUAAUUUUCAAAAUACUGUGUCUUGUAGUGUAUCAGUACUGUUUUGUCUCAGUUUAUAGCACAGUAUGUUCACAAA